CAGCAGCAGCCGCGGUAAUACGGAGGGUGCAAGCGUUAUCCGGAUUUAUUGGGUUUAAAGGGUCCGUAGGCGGAUCUGUAAGUCAGUGGUGAAAUCUCACAGCUUAACUGUGAAACUGCCAUUGAUACUGCAGGUCUUGAGUAAAUUUGAAGUGGCUGGAAUAAGUAGUGUAGCGGUGAAAUGCAUAGAUAUUACUUAGAACACCAAUUGCGAAGGCAGGUCACUAAGAUUUAACUGACGCUGAUGGACGAAAGCGUGGGGAGCGAACAGGAUUAGAGACCCCUGUAGUCACUGUCUCUUAUAC
rnacentral:rRNA from 1 species